AUACUUACCUGGACGGGGUCUAUAGGCGAUCCAUAAGAUCUAUGGCCUAGCUUGUUGGUCUCCAUUGCACUUUGGAGAUGCAACUGGUUAAAGUCUCCUCAAGUAGGAGAGCUUACGUCAUAAUUUGUGAUAGCUGGGGCCUGCGUUCGCGCGGCCCCUGC